rnacentral:rRNA from 1 species
GAUGAACGCUAGCGGCAGGCCUAACACAUGCAAGUCGAGGGGUAACAGGAUUAAGCUUGCUUAAUUGCUGACGACCGGCGCACGGGUGCGUAACGCGUAUGCAACCUACCUUAUACUGGGGUAUAGCCCGGAGAAAUUCGGAUUAAUCCCCCACAGUACUAAUGAAUCGCAUGGUUUAUUAGUUAAAGCAUUGCGGUAUAAGAUGGGCAUGCGUCCUAUUAGCUAGAUGGUGAGGUAACGGCUCACCAUGGCUACGAUAGGUAGGGGGCCUGAGAGGGUGGUCCCCCACACUGGUACUGAGACACGGACCAGAUUCCUACGGGAGGCAGCAGUGAGGAAUAUUGGUCAAUGGGCGCAAGCCUGAACCAGCCAUGCCGCGUGCAGGAAGAAUGCCCUAUGGGUUGUAAACUGCUUUUAUUUGGGAAUAAACCUCUUUACGUGUAGAGAGCUGAAGGUACCAAAUGAAUAAGCACCGGCUAACUCCGUGCCAGCCGCCGCAGUAA